GACGUAGGAGGCGAGCGUUAUCCGGAUUCACUGGGCGUAAAGCGCAUGUAGGCGGCUGGACAAGUCGUGUGUUAAAGCCCCUGGCUCAACUGGGGGAGGUCAUGCGAGACUGUACGGCUGGAGGGCAACAGAGGCACGUGGAACUCCCGGUGUAGCGGUGGAAUGCGUAGAGAUCGGGAAGAACACCAGUGGCGAAGGCGACGUGCUGGGUUGCACCUGACGCUGAGAUGCGAAAGCGUGGGGAGCAAACAGG
rnacentral:rRNA from 1 species